AUGGCCUCGAGCUCCCUCCCGCUCCGCGCCCUCCUGGCCCUGCUGACCCUGCCAGGGCUCCGGGCGGCCGUGACCCUGCUGGAGUGCGGGGGGGACCUCCAGCCCCCCGGAGGGUCCCUGACUCUGCUCUGCCGCGGAUCUGGAUUCAAUUUCGGGAGUUACAGCAUGCAGUGGGUUCGUCAGAGCCCCGGGAAGGCGCUGGAAUGGGUCGCGAGUAUCAGCAGCAGUGGCAGCAGCACCUACUACGCGUCGUCGUUCAAGGGCCGGUUCUCGAUCUCCUGGGACAACGGGCAGAGCUCGGUGACGCUGACCAUGAACAACCUCAAGGACGAGGAUUCCGCCGUUUACUUCUGCUCCAAAGAUUACGGCAAUUACUAUGGUGCUACUGCUACUGCUGCUGGUAAUGGCGGUUUUUUCAACGAUGCCAUCGAGAACCGGCCCUGCACCGACGACGCGUAG